rnacentral:lncRNA from 10 species
UCACAAGAUUCUGCAAUCUUUUCUGGACUGUUUGGGAGGCUGAGUUAUCAAAAAUCAUUAUAAAAGCAACAACAUCACAUGAGAGCCCCUCCCAUCCCAACCCAUCUCACUACCCAGAGGUGAUUACUUAAGAGUACUUCUUUGAGUCUAAUGCAGAAUGAUAUUCUUACUCAUUGGAAUCAUGACCACCUGGAACCUUAGUGAUCUUG